GCCCUGGUAUCCUGAGGGAUAGCUCAUGAGACUCUUAAUCUCAGUGUUGUGGGUUCAAGCCCCACAUUGGGCA